rnacentral:sRNA from 1 species
UCACAAUUCGCAUUAGAGGGAGAUCAAACAUAGAGAAGGAAAAUAAUGGAUUUACUAAUCUGUUAGCGAAUAAGUUUUAUCUACGAAAAACAUCGUCAAAUUCUCUUGGGUGAACGACCUGUGUGCCCUUCGGAAGUUUCAUAUAACACUAGACCUACACCGAAUUUCAACCUCAAUCUUGGUCCACAUAAAUGGAAAGUUCUAGUCCUAUUUCCCCUAAUUUGAAAGUUAGAAACCUCAAACACACAGGUCGUUAUAAACCAAUUAAAAAAACGUUUAUGUGUUUUGAGGUUUCGAACUUUCAAUUUAGGGAGAAAUAGGAUUAGAACUUUCUAUUUGUGUGGACCAAGAUCGAGGUUGGAAUUCUGUGUAGUUCUAAUGCUAUAUGAAACUUCCGAGGGGGACACAGGUCGUUCACCCAAUUCUCUUCUUUUGUGUAUUUUUCUCAUUAUAUGGCAUCAAAUAUAGAGAAGAAAAAAA